GGUGGCUCAGUGGUAGAGUGCUUACCUUGCAUGUGUGAGGCCCUGGGUUCGAUUCCCCAGCACCA
rnacentral:tRNA from 1 species